rnacentral:rRNA from 1 species
AUUGAACGCUGGCGGCAGGCCUAACACAUGCAAGUCGAGCGGUAGAGAGAAGCUUGCUUCUCUUGAGAGCGGCGGACGGGUGAGUAAUGCCUAGGAAUCUGCCUGGUAGUGGGGGAUAACGUUCGGAAACGGACGCUAAUACCGCAUACGUCCUACGGGAGAAAGCAGGGGACCUUCGGGCCUUGCGCUAUCAGAUGAGCCUAGGUCGGAUUAGCUAGUUGGUGGGGUAAUGGCUCACCAAGGCGACGAUCCGUAACUGGUCUGAGAGGAUGAUCAGUCACACUGGAACUGAGACACGGUCCAGACUCCUACGGGAGGCAGCUGUGGGGAAUAUUGGACAAUGGGCGAAAGCCUGAUCCAGCCAUGCCGCGUGUGUGAAGAAGGUCUUCGGAUUGUAAAGCACUUUAAGUUGGGAGGAAGGGCAGUAAAUUAAUACUUUGCUGUUUUGACGUUACCGACAGAAUAAGCACCGGCUAACUCUGUG